rnacentral:rRNA from 1 species
CAGUAGCCGCGGUAAUACGGAGGGGGCUAGCGUUGUUCGGAAUUACUGGGCGUAAAGCGUACGUAGGCGGCUUGGUAAGUUAGAGGUGAAAGCCUGGAGCUCAACUCCAGAAUUGCCUUUAAGACUGCCGAGCUAGCAGGUGAGAGAGGUAAGUGGAAUUCCGAGUGUAGAGGUGAAAUUCGUAGAUAUUCGGAAGAACACCAGUGGCGAAGGCGGCUUACUGGCUCAUACUGGACGCUGAGGUGCGAAAGCGUGGGGAGCAAACAGGAUUAGAUACCCCAGUAGUCCCUGUCUCUUAUAC